GACGAACGCUGGCGGCGUGCUUAACACAUGCAAGUCGAACGGAAAGGCCCUGCUUUUGUGCGGUGCUCGAGUGGCCAACGGGUGAGUAACACGUGAGUAACCUGCCCCUGACUUUGGGAUAACUUCAGGAAACUGGGGCUAAUACCGGAUAGGAGCUCCUGCUGCAUGGUGGGCGUUGGAUAGUUUCGGCGGUUGGGGAUGGACUCGCGGCUUAUCGGCUUGUUGGUGGGGUAGUGGCUUACCAAGGCUAUGAGGGGUAGCCGUGCUGAGAGGGUAAGCGGACAAGCUGCGAUUGAGAUACGGCCCAGACUAGAAUGGUACGCAGAGGAGCAGAAGGUAGUAUAGGAGGAGGAGGGAAGGUCCAGCCACGCAGCGCGGGGGGAGAGGGGAUUGGGGUUGUAAAGCAAUUUCGCCUUAGACGGGGUGUGAGUGACAGUAACGGGUGAAGAAGCACCGGCUAACUACGUG
rnacentral:rRNA from 1 species